GCUUACGGCCAUACCAGCCUGGGUACGCCCGAUCUCGUCUGAUCUCGGAAGCUAAGCACGGUCGGGCCUGGUUAGUACUUGGAUGGGAGACCGCCUGGGAAUACCAGGUGCUGUAAGCA
rnacentral:rRNA from 1 species